rnacentral:rRNA from 1 species
UGGGGAAUAUUGCAUAAUGGGCGCAAGCCUGAUGCAGCCAUGCCGCGUGUGUGAAGAAGGCCUUCGGGUUGUAAAGCACUUUCAGCGAGGAGGAAGGUGGUGAACUUAAUACGUUCAUCAAUUGACGUUACUCGCAGAAGAAGCACCGGCUAACUCCGUGCCAGCAGCCGCGGUAAUACGGAGGGUGCAAGCGUUAAUCGGAAUUACUGGGCGUAAAGCGCACGCAGGCGGUUUGUUAAGUCAGAUGUGAAAUCCCCGGGCUCAACCUGGGAACUGCAUUUGAAACUGGCAAGCUAGAGUCUCGUAGAGGGGGGUAGAAUUCCAGGUGUAGCGGUGAAAUGCGUAGAGAUCUGGAGGAAUACCGGUGGCGAAGGCGGCCCCCUGGACGAAGACUGACGCUCAGGUGCGAAAAGCGUGGGGAGCAAACAGGAUUAGAUACCCCUGGUAGUCCACGCUGUAAAACGAUGUCGAUUUUGGAGGUUGUGCCCCUUGAGGCGUGGCUUCCGGAGCUAACGCGUUAAAAUCGACCG